rnacentral:rRNA from 1 species
CCUACGGGAGGCAGCAGUAGGGAAUAUUGCUCAAUGGGGGAAACCCUGAUGCAGCAACGCCGCGUGAAGGAUGAAGGUUUUCGGAUUGUAAACUUCUUUUGUCAGAGAAGAAAAUGACGGUAUCUAAGGAAUAAGCACCGGCUAACUCCGUGCCAGCAGCCGCGGUAAUACGGAGGGUGCAAGCGUUAUUCGGAAUCACUGGGCGUAAAGGGCGCGUAGGCGGGAUAGCAAGUCAGAUGUGAAAGCCAAGGGCUUAACCAUCGGACUGCAUUUGAAACUGUUAUUCUGGAGUGUGGGAGAGGUAGGUGGAAUUCUUGGUGUAGGGGUGAAAUGCGUAGAUAUCAGGAGGAACACUAGUGGCGAAGGCGACCUGCUAGACCAUAACUGACGCUGAUGCGCGAAAGCGUGGGGAGCAAACAGGAUUAGAUACCCGUGUAGUC